rnacentral:rRNA from 1 species
UACAAACGCUGGCGGCAUGCCUAACACAUGCAAGUCGAACGAGAAUCGGUGGAUAGAGACUUCGGUCAAUUGAAAUCGAGGACAGUGGCGGACGGGUGAGUAAUGCAUGAGCAACCUGCCUUGGAGUGGGGGAUAACGCAUCGAAAGAUGUGCUAAUACCGCGUAAGACCACGGCACCGCAUGGUGCAGGGGUCAAAGGAGCAAUCCGGUUUAAGAUGGGCUCGCGUCCGAUUAGCUAGUUGGUGAGAUAACAGCCCACAAGGCAACGAUCGGUAGCCGACCUGAGAGGGUGAACGGCCACAUUGGGACUGAGAUACGGCCCAGACUCCUACGGGAGCAGCAGUGGGGAAUAUUGGGCAAUGGGGGAAACCCUGACCCAGCAACGCCGCGUGAAGGAGAAGGCCUUCGGGUUGUAAACUU